CUGGAGGCAACCUGAAUAAUCUCAUGAGAAAUGGAAGAUGAGAUCUUGCAGUAUCAGGAGAUGACUAUCCUGAGGGGCAGCCAUGCAGUCACCCUGAAAUGGUAAUUAAGAAGCAUUUAUUUCAUGAACAACACCCAAGAGAAUCAAGCAAAAUCAAGAUCACUUCAAAUUUAAGGCUGCCUGGAUACUGAAAAGUAUUAUUACAUCCAAUAGUUGGACUGGUGAGCAUCUUGGCACAAGUGAGAGACCAAGCAGAAGGUUUGCCAACUGUGGGCCAGAUGAGACCCAAAUGCACCCAUGUGUGCAACCACAGCGUGCCACCAAACAAGUGUGUUGGCACCCUUGCUCCUGGAAGGACAUUUCAGACAGCAUGAAGACUCCCAUGGGGAGAAAAUAA
rnacentral:lncRNA from 1 species